AGUAGUUUGAUCCUGGCUCAGGACGAACGCUGGCGGCGUGCUUAACACAUGCAAGUCGAACGAUGAAGCCUAGCUUGCUAGGUGGAUUAGUGGCGAACGGGUGAGUAAUACGUGAGUAACCUACCUUUAACUCUGGGAUAAGCCUGGGAAACUGGGUCUAAUACCGGAUACGACCAAUCUCCGCAUGGGGUGUUGGUGGAAAGCGUUAUGUAGUGGUUAUAGAUGGGCUCACGGCCUAUCAGCUUGUUGGUGAGGUAACGGCUCACCAAGGCGACGACGGGUAGCCGGCCUGAGAGGGUGACCGGCCACACUGGGACUGAGACACGGCCCAGACUCCUGCGGGAGGCAGCAGUGGGGAAUAUUGCACAAUGGGCGCAAGCCUGAUGCAGCGACGCGCGUGAGGGAUGACGGCCUUCGGGUUGUAAACCUCUGUUAGCAGGGAAGAAGAGAGAUUGACGGUACCUGCAGAGAAAGCGCCGGCUAACUACGUG
rnacentral:rRNA from 1 species